rnacentral:tRNA from 1 species
UUUUAUAUAGUUUAAUAUUAAAACUUUACAUUUUCAUUGUAAUAAUAAAAAAUUUUUUUUUAUAAAAUAUA